rnacentral:rRNA from 1 species
AGAGCGAACGCUGGCGGCAGGCUUAACACAUGCAAGUCGAGCGGGCGUAGCAAUACGUCAGCGGCAGACGGGUGAGUAACGCGUGGGAACGUACCUUUUGGUUCGGAACAACCCAGGGAAACUUGGGCUAAUACCGGAUAAGCCCUUACGGGGAAAGAUUUAUCGCCGAAAGAUCGGCCCGCGUCUGAUUAGCUAGUUGGUGAGGUAAUGGCUCACCAAGGCGACGAUCAGUAGCUGGUCUGAGAGGAUGAUCAGCCACAUUGGGACUGAGACACGGCCCAAACUCCUACGGGAGGCAGCAGUGGGGAAUAUUGGACAAUGGGCGCAAGCCUGAUCCAGCCAUGCCGCGUGAGUGAUGAAGGCCCUAGGGUUGUAAAGCUCUUUUGUGCGGAAGAUAAUGACGGUACCGCAAGAAUAAGCCCCGGCUAACUCGUGCCAGCAGCCGC